AUGAGCAGUGACCUGGCGGGGUUGGAGAUGUUGGGAGUGGAGACUGAUUUGAUGUCCCUAAACCUCCUGUGCCACGAGCAAUUGUGGAUGCAGAGGGAGGGGAGGACAGGGAGUGGAUAGAAGGAGACCCCAAGCUGAAUGGCCAGAAAGAAAUAAAUGCUUUAGAAUUCUCACGCUAAGCAAGUAGGGUUAAUUUCUGCUGGUGAUUUCUACUCUGUGGUGUUCUUUUGUUGUUUCAGUAACCAGAACACAUGAUGUUUUAAAGAAGGCAAGGACUAACUUAGAGGUGAAAUCCCUAAGGGCUCUGCCGUGUACUCCAGCCUUGUGACCCUUGCCUUCCAGGAACCACGCAAGAAGCGCAGCCACCAGAAGUCCUUAAAACAGCAGGAAAGGUGGGCCUGUCCCCCUUUUGUGCAGCUACCUAUCUGCUGAGGAGCAUGUGGGCCUCAUUCCUCCAAGUCCACUGGAGGGUCCAGAAGAGGGAGUCAGAGAUGUAUCCUUGCGGAGCUGGGAGAAAGGCAGAAAGCCUUUCUGACAGCUAUGGAAUACCAUUAGCCAAGGUCCACUUGGCCCAGCACUAAGCAAAAGAUGCGUAGUUUGCAUAGACGGUUUUGUGAUACUGCCUCUCAACAGCCCCAGCAGCUUGGGAACUAGCAACAGCACAUUUCUUGCCUCAUCAGCUGUCCUGAGAUGGAAAACUCAGUGGAUAUAGGACUCUGAUUCUGAUGAAUGGGGCACGUGGUCCCAAUGCUGGAGCUCCUCUGGCAGGUUCUAAAGGCACACUACUGAGCAGCGGUGCCCUGCCGGACACUGCUGGUGGGGGCUCAGUGAGCACUACUC
rnacentral:sRNA from 1 species